rnacentral:rRNA from 1 species
UUCACUUCCGAGUCUAUGUUUUCAUAUACCCUUUAUAAUUGAAGUCGAUGAAUGUAUUAGGCUUUGGCCAAUAAAACAAUACAACUUUCAACAAUGGAUCUCUUGGUUCUCGCAUCGAUGAAGAACGCAGCGAAUUGCGAUAUGUAAUGUGAAUUGCAGAAUUCAGUGAAUCAUCGAACCUUUGAACGCACCUUGCGCCCUUUGGUAUUCCGAAGGGCAUGCCUGUUUGAGUGUCAUUAAAUUCUCAACUUCAACACUUUUUUGUAUUGAAGCUUGGAUGUUGGAGGGUCUUGCGGGCAUAUAUUAAUGUCAGCUCCUCUUAAAUGCAUUAGCAGAACCUGUGUUCGGCUCUGGUUUGAUAAUCCUAUCUAUGCCAUUGCUGAAAUGUCAUUGUUCAGCUUCUAAUGGUCCAUUGGACUGUCUCUUCAGAGGCAUAUAUUUUGACUUGACCUCAAAUCAGGU